rnacentral:rRNA from 1 species
GUGGAUAGAGAUGGGCACGCGCAAGAUUAGUUAGUUGGUGAGGUAACGGCUCACCAAGGCGAUGAUCUUUAGGGGGCCUGAGAGGGUGAUCCCCCACACUGGUACUGAGACACGGACCAGACUCCUACGGGAGGCAGCAGUGAGGAAUAUUGGACAAUGGGUUAGCGCCUGAUCCAGCCAUCCCGCGUGAAGGACGACGGCCCUAUGGGUUGUAAACUUCUUUUGUAUAGGGAUAAACCUACUCUCGUGAGAGUAGCUGAAGGUACUAUACGAAUAAGCACCGGCUAACUCCGUGCCAGCAGCCGCGGUAAUACGGAGGGUGCAAGCGUUAUCCGGAUUUAUUGGGUUUAAAGGGUCCGUAGGCGGAUCUGUAAGUCAGUGGUGAAAUCUCAUAGCUUAACUGUGAAACUGCCAUUGAUACUGCAGGUCUUGAGUAAAUUUGAAGUGGCUGGAAUAAGUAGUGUAGCGGUGAAAUGCAUAGAUAU